AUGGAGUCUGUCCUUGGCUGGGUUUCCCUUGUUGCUCUUUUUUCAGGUGUUCAGUGUGAGGUGCAGCUGGUGGAAUCUGGGGGAGACCUGGUGAAGCCUGGCAGGUCCCUGAGACUCCCCUGUGCAGUUUCUGGAUUCACCUUCAGUAGUAAUGGCAUGAGCUGUGUCUGCCAGGCUCCAGGGAAGGGGCUGCAGUGGGUCUCAGAUAUUAGCAGUGAUAGAAGCAGCACAAGCUAUGCAGACUCUUUGAAGGGCCAAUUCUCAUCUCCAGAGACAAUGCCAAGAACACACCGUAUCUGCCAAUGAAUGGCCUUGGAGCCAAGGACACAGCCAUGUAUUACUGUUCAAGCGACACAGUGAGGGGCCGUCAGGGUGAGCCCAGACACAAACUUUCCUGCAAGGACACAGGAGGGGCUGGGCUGCAGGGGUUCUCAGGGCCCCAGCGGGACUCUCAGGUCACCAAGGGGCGUUCAGGUCACCAAGGGACCCUCUGGCCACCAGAGGGAGCUCAGGUCCCAACAGGUACUCAGGUCACCAAGGGUCACUCAGAACACCAGGGGGCUCUUAGGUCACCAGGGAGUGCUUAG